AGUGGAUGGGGAGCAACCUAGUUGUGCGUGUGUAAAGGUAGUGCCAAGAAAAGCGAUGAUCAUGUUGAAAAUCAAUUCCCGGUACCCGAAACCGACACAGGUGGGCAAGUAGAGAAUACUAAGGGGCGCGAGGUAACUCUCUCCUAGGAACUCGGCAAAAUGACCCCGUAACUUAGGGAGAAGGGGUGCCACCGAGAGGUGGUCGCAGUGAAGAGGCCCAGGCGACUGUUUAGCAAAAACAUAGGUCUCUGCAAACUCGAAAGAGGAGGUAUAGGGGCUGACGCCUGCCCAGUGCCGGAAGGUUAAAGAAGUUGGUCAGUUUUAGGAUGAAGCUAGCGACUGAAGCCCCGGUGAACGGCGGCCGUAACUAUAACGGUCCUAAGGUAGCGAAAUUCCUUGUCGGGUAAGUUCCGACCCGCACGAAAGGCGUAACGAUCUGGGCGCUGUCUCGGAGAGAGGCUCGGCGAAAUAGGAUUGUCUGUGAAGAUACGGACUACCUGCAUUUGGACAGAAAGACCCUAUGAAGCUUUACUAUAGCUUGGAAUUGUGUUCGGGCUUCCUGUGCGCAGGAUAGGUGGGAGGCGUAGAAGGUAUUCUUGUGGGGAUACUGGAGCCAACGGUGAGAUACCACUCUCAGGAGGCUAGAAUUCUAACUUAAUUAAGGACAGUUUCAGGUGGGUAGUUUGACUGGGGCGGUCGCCUCCAAAAAGGUAACGGAGGCGUACAAAGGUUCCCUCAGACUGGUUGGAAAUCAGUCGAAGAGUGCAAAGGCAGAAGGGAGCUUGACUGCGAGAAGUACAGUUCGAGCAGGGUGGAAACACGGUCUUAGUGAUCCGACGGUGCUGUGUGGAAGGGCCGUCGCUCAACGGAUAAAAGUUACUCUAGGAUAACAGGCUGAUCUCCCCCAAGAGUUCACAUCGACGGGGAGGUUUGGCACCUCGAUGUCGGCUCAUCGCAACCUGGGGCGGAAGUACGUCCCAAGGGUUGGGCUGUUCGCCCAUUAAAGCGGUACGUGAGCUGGGUUCAGAACGUCGUGAGACAGUUCGGUCCAUAUCCGAUGUAGGCGUGAGAAUAUUGAGAGGAGCCUUCCUUAGUACGAGAGGACCGGGAAGGACGCACCGCUGGUGUACCUGUUAUGAUGCCAAUUGUAAACGCAGGGUAGCCAAGUGCGGAGAGGAUAACCGCUGAAAGCAUCUAAGUGGGAAGCCCACCUCAAGAUGAGUAUUCUGGUGUAAGGUCACGGGAAGACGACCCGUAAAUAGGCACGAGGUGGAAGUGCAGAGAUGUAUGAAGCCGAAGUGUACUAAUAGACCGUCGGCUUGACC
rnacentral:rRNA from 1 species